rnacentral:rRNA from 1 species
UACGUAGGGUGCGAGCGUUGUCCGGAAUUAUUGGGCGUAAAGAGCGUGUAGGCGGCCCGGUAAGUCCGCUGUGAAAGUCGGGGGCUCAACCCUCGAAUGCCGGUGGAUACUGUCGGGCUAGAGUGCGGAAGAGGCGAGUGGAAUUCCUGGUGUAGCGGUGAAAUGCGCAGAUAUCAGGAGGAACACCGAUUGCGAAGGCAGCUCGCUGGGACGUCACUGACGCUGAGACGCGAAAGCGUGGGGAGCAAACAGG